rnacentral:rRNA from 1 species
AUUGAACGCUGGCGGCAUGCUUUACACAUGCAAGUCGAACGGUAACAGGCCUUCGGGUGCUGACGAGUGGCGAACGGGUGAGUAAUGCAUCGGAACGUGCCCAAUCGUGGGGGAUAACGUAGCGAAAGUUACGCUAAUACCGCAUAAGCCCUGAGGGGGAAAGCAGGGGAUCGCAAGACCUUGCGCGAAUGGAGCGGCCGAUGUCAGAUUAGCUAGUUGGUGGGGUAAAGGCCUACCAAGGCGACGAUCUGUAGCGGGUCUGAGAGGAUGAUCCGCCACACUGGGAUUGAGACACGGCCCAGACUCCUACGGGAGGCAGCAGUGGGGAAUUUUGGACAAUGGGCGCAAGCCUGAUCCAGCCACGCCGCGUGC